UACGAAGGGGGCUAGCGUUGCUCGGAAUCACUGGGCGUAAAGGGUGCGUAGGCGGGUCUUUAAGUCAGGGGUGAAAUCCUGGAGCUCAACUCCAGAACUGCCUUUGAUACUGAAGAUCUUGAGUUCGGGAGAGGUGAGUGGAACUCCGAGUGUAGAGGUGAAAUUCGUAGAUAUUCGGAAGAACACCAGUGGCGAAGGCGGCUCACUGGCCCGGUACUGACGCUGAAAUACGAAAGCGUGGGGAGCAAACAGG
rnacentral:rRNA from 1 species